UUGACCUGGCAAGCCUGUCUCUGUCUGAGCAUGAUCACAACAAAAGUAGCUGUGCAGCACGUUUUUUAAUGAAGAGGAGGAUGGUUGUAGACGUUCACAUUCCUGCAAGAAGGCACUGCAGAGGCUAAGAAGACGCAUGGAAACUCUAAAAGAAACAUAAUUCAACUUGUAGGCCAGAUUUGAAAAGGAAAUAAUAAAUCCCGAAGCUCAGAUGUCAGACACCGAGGCUGCCAGUACCUCUGGGUCGAUAGUCCAUGUGUUGGAUGAUGCACUGCCGUUGAUCAGAACAGACAGCGUAUACGAGAGAUGUCAGCGAUUCGGGCUAAACAGCCAAUGACCAAGGGAAAGCUGGGACAAAUGAGAGGCUCACACGGUGUAACGAUCGUCAAAAGGAGUAGACCAAGGUGCAGCGUGGUACGUGUUCAUCUUGAAUUUAUUUUAAUUUAGAACACUUCAACAAAAGAACAAACAAUGACAAACGACCAUCACGUCUUGCAGGCUAUAACGAGCAGUACAAAAAUAAGAUCCCACAACUACAGGUGGGGAAAGGCUG